rnacentral:lncRNA from 13 species
GUUUCUUUUUACAUAAAAAAGUGCAAAGCAAUACCUGCCUAUUUUCUAAAGUGGUAUCUGGAAUAGGGUAAGGAGAGGGUAAAUGAGUACAUGAUAAGUAACAGCUACCUUAGGUAGGACUCCAAUACUUUGGGGCUCUUUUUAUUAGUUGCUUAUUUUUCCACAUUGGCCUAACAUCUAUGUUUUUAUUGGGAUCAUGCUACAUUUAAAAGUUAUUGAGGCUUAAAGAGGAAGGAAAUCACGACAUACGUUACAACACAGAUGAGCGUUGAGGUCAUUAUGCCAAGUGAAAUAAGCCAUUUGCAAAAGGACAAACACUGUGUAAUUCCACUUAGAUGAAGUGCCCAGAGUGGUCAGAUUCACAGAGACAGAAUGUAGAAUGGUGGUUGCCAGGAGCUAGGGAGAGGAGAACCCGGUAAUUAUUGUUCAGUGGGGAUGUAGUUUCAGUUUUACAAGAUGAAAGAAGUCCGGAGAUGGAGAGUGGUAAUGGUUCACCACAAUGUAUUUGACAAUGUAUUCAAUACGGCUGAACUGUACACUUAAAAUGGUUAAGAUGCAAUUGACUCUAAUAAGUCUGAUACUUGUUGCAUUUUUGAUAAAGCAAAAAGCCUUGCUGAGGUCAUUUGUGUUUGCUGUGCUCCACUCUUGCUCUUCCAGAUGACCUCCAUACUACAUUGCUGGCUUCUUGUUGGUUUCUCUUCCUCAAAAGCUUUGGUGGAAAGAUGAACGUGGAUCUUGUCUACUUUGUUACCUGUUGUAUUCUUGGUGGUCAGAAUAGUGCACAUGGUAAGCCCUCAAUAAAUAUUUGUUGAAUGAACA